GGCCUCUUCGUCUAGUGGUCUAGGACGCUGCCCUCUCAAGGCGGUAACAGGGGUUCGAAGCCCCUAGGGGCUAC
rnacentral:tRNA from 1 species